rnacentral:rRNA from 1 species
AGCGAACGCUGGCGGCAGGCUUAACACAUGCAAGUCGAGCGGGCCCUUCGGGGUCAGCGGCAGACGGGUGAGUAACACGUGGGAACGUACCCUUUGGUUCGGAAUAACGCUGGGAAACUAGCGCUAAUACCGGAUACGCCCUUUUGGGGAAAGGCUUGCUGCCGAAGGAUCGGCCCGCGUCUGUUUAGCUAGUUGGUGGGGUAAUGGCCUACCAAGGCGACGAUCAGUAGCUGGUCUGAGAGGAUGAUCAGCCACACUGGGACUGAGACACGGCCCAGACUCGUACGGGAGGCAGCAGUGGGGAAUAUUGGAGAAUGGGCGCAAGCCUGAUCCAGCCAUGCCGCGUGAGUGAUGAAGGCCUUAGGGUUGUAAAGCUCUUUUGUCCGGGACGAUAAUGACGGUACCGGAAGAAUAAGCCCCGGCUAACUUCGUG